rnacentral:rRNA from 1 species
GCAGUCGAGCGAUGGAUUGAGAGCUUGCUCUCAAGAAGUUAGCGGCGGACGGGUGAGUAACACGUGGGUAACCUGCCCAUAAGACUGGGAUAACUCCGGGAAACCGGGGCUAAUACCGGAUAACAUUUUGAACUGCAUGGUUCGAAAUUGAAAGGCGGCUUCGGCUGUCACUUAUGGAUGGACCCGCGUCGCAUUAGCUAGUUGGUGAGGUAACGGCUCACCAAGGCAACGAUGCGUAGCCGACCUGAGAGGGUGAUCGGCCACACUGGGACUGAGACACGGCCCAGACUCCUACGGGAGGCAGCAGUAGGGAAUCUUCCGCAAUGGACGAAAGUCUGACGGAGCAACGCCGCGUGAGUGAUGAAGGCUUUCGGGUCGUAAAACUCUGUUGUUAGGGAAGAACAAGUGCUAGUUGAAUAAGCUGGCACCUUGACGGUACCUAACCAGAAAGCCACGGCUAACUACGUGCCAGCAGCCGCGGUAAUACGUAGGUGGCAAGCGUUAUCCGGAAUUAUUGGGCGUAAAGCGCGCGCAGGUGGUUUCUUAAGUCUGAUGUGAAAGCCCACGGCUCAACCGUGGAGGGUCAUUGGAAACUGGGAGACUUGAGUGCAGAAGAGGAAAGUGGAAUUCCAUGUGUAGCGGUGAAAUGCGUAGAGAUAUGGAGGAACACCAGUGGCGAAGGCGACUUUCUGGUCUGUAACUGACACUGAGGCGCGAAAGCGUGGGG